rnacentral:rRNA from 1 species
ACGGGAGGCAGCAGUGAGGAAUAUUGGUCAAUGGGCGGAAGCCUGAACCAGCCAAGUCGCGUGAAGGAAGAAGGUAUUAUGUAUUGUAAACUUCUUUAGCAGCAGAGUAAUAAGGAGGUCGAGACCUCUGAUGCAAGUAUGCUGAAAAUAAGGAUCGGCUAACUCCGUGCCAGCAGCCGCGGUAAUACGGAGGAUCCGAGUGUUAUCCGGAUUUAUUGGGUUUAAAGGGUGCGUAGGCGGAGGAUCAAGUCAGUGGUGAAAUGGUGCGGCUCAACCGUAGCAUUGCCGUUGAAACUGGUUUUCUAGAGUGCGAAUGAGGUGGGCGGAAUGUGUCAUGUAGCGGUGAAAUGCAUAGAUAUGACACAGAACACCGAUUGCGAAGGCAGCUCACUGGGACGCAACUGACGCUGAGGCACGAAAGUGCGGGGAUCGAACAGGAUUAGAUACCCUGGUA